rnacentral:rRNA from 1 species
AACGAACGCUGGCGGCACGCCUAACACAUGCAAGACGAACGAAGCAUAAGAGCUUGCUCUUAUGACUGAGUGGCGCACGGGUGAGUAACACGUGGGAAUCUGCCUAUUGGUGGGGAAUAACUUUUGGAAACGAAAGCUAAUACCGCAUAAGCCCUGAGGGGGAAAGAUUUAUCGCCAAUAGAUGAGCCCGCGCUAGAUUAGCUAGUUGGUGAGGUAAGAGCUCACCAAGGCUACGACCUAUAGCUGGUCUGAGAGGAUGGUCAGCCACACUGGGACUGAGACACGGCCCAGACUCCUACGGGAGGCAGCAGUGGGGAAUAUUGGACAAUGGGGGAAACCCUGAUCCAGCGAUGCCGCGUGAGUGAAGAAGGCCUUCGGGUUGUAAAGCUCUUUCAGAGGGGAUGAUGAUGACGGUACCCUCAGAAGAAGCACCGGCUAACUUCGUGCCAGCAGCCGCGGUAAGAC